UACGGAGGAUGCAAGCGUUAUCCGGAAUUAUUGGGCGUAAAGCGUCCGUAGGUGGCUAUGUAAGUCUGCUGUUAAAGAGUGAGGCUCAACCUCAUAAGAGCAGUGGAAACUACAUGGCUAGAGUGCGUUCGGGGCAGAGGGAAUUCCUGGUGUAGCGGUGAAAUGCGUAGAUAUCAGGAAGAACACCGGUGGCGAAAGCGCUCUGCUAGGCCGCAACUGACACUGAGGGACGAAAGCUAGGGGAGCGAAUGGG
rnacentral:rRNA from 1 species